UACGUAGGGUGCAAGCGUUGUCCGGAAUUAUUGGGCGUAAAGAGCUCGUAGGCGGUUUGUUGCGUCGGCUGUGAAAUCCCGAGGCUCAACCUCGGGUCUGCAGUCGAUACGAGCAAACUAGAGUGUUGCAGGGGAGACUGGAAUUCCUGGUGUAGCGGUGAAAUGCGCAGAUAUCAGGAGGAACACCGGUGGCGAAGGCGGGUCUCUGGGCCGAUAUUGACGCUGAGGAGCGGAAGCGUGGGGAGCGAACAGG
rnacentral:rRNA from 1 species